rnacentral:rRNA from 1 species
AAACAUGCUCAAUACACUUGUGGGAAUGGAGAUGAAAAGCACGAGAUACUUUUUCUAGAAAUAUGGACUAAUGGAAGUUUAACCCCUGAAGCAGUUUAUGAGACUUCUCGUAAUUUGUUUGAUUUAUUUCUUCCUUUUCUACACGAGGAGGAAGAGGGCACUAGUCUCGAAGAAAAUGAAAACAAGAUUCUGAUAAAAGUUCAUGCAUUUUUUAAAGGAACAUGA